GGGAGAAUGAAGAUAGCAGAUGUAAGGAAGGCUGCUAAUCAGCUAGCCUUGAGAUGCAGAGAGCACUCUGGACUUGCCAGAUGAAUCCGAUGUAAUACCCAGGGGCCUUGACUGUGGAAGAGAGAGGCAGAAGCAUCAACAUCAGAAUAAUUUGGUGCGAGAAAGAUUCUACUUUAGUUACUGACUUUGAAGAUGGAGAAGGGGGCCAUGUGCCAAGGAAUGCAGCAGCUUUUGGAAGCUGAAAAAGGCAAAGAAACAAAUUCUCAAAGAAACAAGAGCCUGCAGAAAAGAACUCAGCCCUUCUGACACCUUGAUUUCAUCCCGGUGAGACCCAUUUCAGACUCUGACCUCCAGAACAAAUGACAAGAUGAUAAAUUUGUGUUGUUUUAAGACACUAAGUUUGUGGUAACAAGUUGCAGCAACAACAGAAACUAAUAUAGGAAUGAAGCUAUGGACAUAAACUCAAGUCAGACCAUGAAGCACAUUCUCAGAAAGCUUAGCAGUCUGGCCUCGGAACUUCAGAAUACAUGGUUUCAGGCCUCAUGUUUAAGUCUCUGGUAGUUCUUUAUAGCAAUGCAAGAACGGACUAAUACACCUGGACACUGAUCUCAUCUGGUGAAAGACUGUGGGUAAUCAAAGCAUUUCUGCGGAGUGGUUGCAAGGCAUGCCUGCGACGAGACAGGUUGUUGGCAGUGAGUGAGUGUAGCAUUGUUCUUUCUCAAGAUUGCUUUAGCUGUCUUCUUGAUCUUGUGGUUCCAUGUAAAUUUUAUGGUUUCAUACAAUUUUUAAUAUUACUUUUUUUGUUUCUGUAAAUAAAUGUCAUUGAAAUUUUAACAGAGAUUGCAUUCAGUCUGUAAAUUGCUUUGGGUAGCAUGGACAUUUUAACAAUAUUAAUUGUUCCAGUCCAUAAACAUAGGACAUCUUUCCAUUUAUUUGUGUCUACUUCAAAUUCUUUCAUCCACGUUUUACAGUUUUCAGUGUACAGAUUUUUCACCUCCUUUGUUAAAUUUAUUCUUUGUUACUUUAUUCUUUCUGACACUGUUGUAAAUGGAACUUUAUAAAGAAUAAUAUGUUUCGGGUGUUUAUUAAAUAUAGAAACACAGCUGAUUUUCGUGUGUUGAUUUUGAAUCCUGC
rnacentral:lncRNA from 1 species